CACCGCGGUUAAACGAGGGGCCCUAGUUAAUGAUACACGGCGUAAAGGGUGGUUAAGGAAAGCAUAGUAAUAAAGUCAAAUGGCCCUUUGGCUGUCAUACGCUUCUAGGUGUCCGAAGCCCAAUAUACGAAAGUAGCUUUAAUAAAGCCCACCUGACCCCACGAAAGCUGAGAAA
rnacentral:rRNA from 1 species